GAUGAACGCUGGCGGCGUGCCUAAUACAUGCAAGUCGAGCGAACGGACGAGAAGCUUGCUUCUCUGAUGUUAGCGGCGGACGGGUGAGUAACACGUGGAUAACCUACCUAUAAGACUGGGAUAACUUCGGGAAACCGGAGCUAAUACCGGAUAAUAUUUUGAACCGCAUGGUUCAAAAGUGAAAGACGGUCUUGCUGUCCCUUAUAGAUGGAUCCGCGCUGCAUUAGCUAGUUGGUAAGGUAACGGCUUACCAAGGCAACGAUGCAUAGCCGACCUGAGAGGGUGAUCGGCCACACUGGAACUGAGACACGGUCCAGACUCCUACGGGAGGCAGCAGUAGGGAAUCUUCCGCAAUCGGCGAAAGCCUGACGGAGCAACGCCGCGUGAGUGAUGAAGGUCUUCGGAUCGUAAAACUCUGUUAUUAGGGAAGAACAUAUGUGUAAGUAACUGUGCACAUCUUGACGGUACCUAAUCAGAAAGCCACGGCUAACUACGUG
rnacentral:rRNA from 1 species